rnacentral:rRNA from 1 species
UACGUAGGUGGCAAGCGUUGUCCGGAUUUACUGGGCGUAAAGGGAGCGUAGGUGGAUAUUUAAGUGGGAUGUGAAAUACUCGGGCUUAACCUGGGUGCUGCAUUCCAAACUGAAUAUCUAGAGUGCAGGAGAGGAAAGUAGAAUUCCUAGUGUAGCGGUGAAAUGCGUAGAGAUUAGGAAGAAUACCAGUGGCGAAGGCGACUUUUUGGACUGUAACUGACACUGAGGCUCGAAAGCGUGGGGAGCAAACAGGAUUAGAUACCCGAGUAGUCC